rnacentral:rRNA from 1 species
GCCAUCCUUGGGAUACCACCCUUGUAGUACUGGGACUCUAACCAUAGGCCAUGAAUCUGGUCUUGGGACACUGUCAGGUGGGCAGUUUGACUGGGGCGGUCGCCUCCCAAAAGGUAACGGAGGCGCUCAAAGGUUCUCGCAGUACGGUCGGAAAUCGUACGUAGAGUGUAAAGGCAAAAGAGAGCUUGAUUGCAAGACAUACAGGUCGAGCAAGGAUGAAAAUCGGACUUAGUGAUCCGGUGGUUCUGCGUGGAAGGGCCAUCGCUCAACGGAUAAAAGCUACCC